GCCAUGAGUGGCUCAGUUGGUAGAGCAGGUGCAGAGGCUAUAGUACUUGACAUGGUUGUCUUGGGUUCGAUUCCCAAUCUCAGGUA